ACAGGUAAAAGGAUAUCCCUAGAAAUGUUAUUUUUUUUAGUUAUUUGCUAGUGAUAGGUUGUAUGUCUGUAUUUGCAUAUUUUGGAAAUACUGAAACUUACAUGUGACUAUUUUUUUAAUUUAAGUUACAGCUUUUGCAAAGAGUCAGUUUGGUACCAAUCCUUUUGGAAAGCAGGUAUCAAAGUUGGACUCUGGCAUGUUCUUUGCAAGGGAGAUGCAGUAUGUAUGUAUGUAUGUAUGUAUGCAUGCAUGUAUAUGUAUGUUCUUCAGGUCAAUUUUGGAAAGGUUCAAUUAGCUCUGUAACAGCAAAUAAGAAAGCAGACACAUCCUGGGGGGCAGAUAUGUAUGUAAAAGAACAAAGAGAGAGAGACUGCAAUGUCCCCCGAAGGGGACAGAAAAUAGGAGCAUAAUGUUGCCUAAUGCAAUACUUACUAAUGCAAUGGAAAAAAUUCAUACAAAUAGUUUCUAUUUCUCUAUCUUCCUGUUAAACAGGAAUCUUCUGAUGAUGUGACAAAUGAACCCAUCUCCAAAUUAUGCUAUCCAUUAGACCUUUGUCAGAAUCAGGGACUUUUUGUAAUUUGGCUUCCCAGUUUACUUUUGGGUAUUUUUUCCUUUAAAUUUUGCACAUUUGAACUCAAGUUCUAAGCCACUCUUGAUGCUAAAAUUAGUCAGAUGAAACAGAUUUUUCCAGGGAAAUGGACCAUAUUACUUUCAAAAUUCAUCAUUUGUCUUAGACCUCUAUCAAUUUUGUCAAUUUUCAAUCUCUCUUUCUAGACAACUCUAGCAUGUGUCAAGUUGAUAUAAAACUAACCUGCACAAUCCUUUUCAACUUGAGAUACAAGAUAACUAUUGAGCCAUAACCUUUCUUUUCUUGAUCUUCCACAAGAUCUCAUAGUAAUAUCAUAAUAUAAAACAUUUCAGCUUAAAAAAAACCAAGUCUUUAAAAAUUCAAACAUCUUAAAGUUCAAUCUCUUUGAAAUAUCAAAUCUAGAUAAAACUCCACAGUCCCUUUAAAAUUGCAAGCUCUAAAAUUACAAAGUCUCUUUAACUGGGCUCCUGUAAAUUCAAAGUGAGUCAAACACUUUGUUUUCUUUCUUUUUUCCCUGCCUCCAUUUUUAGGAGCUCACUCUCAAACUCAUACAGAGAUCAGUCUGCCCCUGCCUCUUGAGUGCUGGGAUUCAAAACAUGUGCUAUCACUCCAUGGCUGCAUUUUCUUAUCCCUCCAUGGCUGCAUUUUCUUAUUCCAAGAGGGAAUAAGCAAGGACAGUCACAAUCAAAUUAAAGCAAGAACAAAGUCCAACAGUAUAAAUCUCAGUGUCAUAUUUCUAGGACUCGUGAUCUACUCUGUUCCAAAGGGCUUCUCACCACCUCGGUAGUAUGUUUCCUAGACUCAAGUAAUCUAAACUCUCCAUAUGCUGCUUUUCUUGGUGGUCCCAUGAUACUGGUAUAUUCAAAAUUCUGGGUUUUCCUGCAGCAACUGGGCUGUAGUUUGACUAAUAGCCUCUCCUGAGCUCUGUUCAGGCACUGACCCUGCCACGUGGUGCUAAGUCUCAACUCUCCAUGACCCCUUUAAUCCUAAGGAUCUUACUGUAGUGGAGGCCGUACCUUCCUUCACCAGUGGUCUUUCUGGGUCUUUUCUAGGUACUUCAGCCCAGCUUCUGUCAAUGACCUUUGAAUGCCCUCAAAACCAGUACUGAAAACCUGGGAAAUGUAUUCAUUAUCAAGUUCACCUGGCAGCACAAGGUCAGCCUUGACCUCUUCCAGAACACAGCCUCGGUGUGCUAAUCCUGAGGAAACAUUUUCCAGAAGAUUUUUGCCUCAAUGAUGCUGGUCUCUUCUUAAUCACAUCUGAUUCUUAAGCCUCAGCUGCACACAGGGCAACCGGCUCAACGGUGGCACCAUCCCCAGUGAACUGGGCCCUCCCACACCAAUCAUCAAUCAAGAAAAUGUGCUUGCCAUCAGGCAGAUCAUACAGGUGUAUUUUCUCAGUUGUGCAUUCUUCUUUACCAAUGACACCAGGAACAGCAAGAAUCGACUGAGCUGCCCGCGACAACAGCAGCAACAUUGUGGGGCCAGAUUCAGGGUUUCAUUUCUACCAUAGAAGCUGUGAUGCUGAAUUAAACUCUGCUCCAAGAA